AGGAUCAUUAACGAGUUUUGAAACGGGUUGUAAGCUGGCCGUCAGAGGCAUGUGCACGCCUAGCUCAUCCACUCUACCCCUGUGCACUUACUGUAGGUUGGCGUGAGCUCCUUUGCGGGAGCAUUCUGCCGGCCUAUGUAUACUACAAACACUUUAAAGUAUCAGAAUGUAAACGCGUCUAACGCAUCUAUAAUACAACUUUUAGCAACGGAUCUCUUGGCUCUCGCAUCCAUGAAGAACGCAGCGAAAUGCGAUAAGUAAUGUGAAUUGGAGACUUCAGUGAAUCAUGGAAUCUUUGAACUCACCUUGCGCUCAUUGGAAUUUCGAGGACCAAGCCCGUUUGAGGGUCAUGGAAUUCUCAACUUAUAAAUCCUUGUGAUCUAUAAGCUUGGACUUGGAGGCUUGCUGGCCCUUGUUGGUCGGCUCCUCUUGAAUGCAUUAGCUCGAUUCCGUACGGAUCGGCUCUCAGUGUGAUAAUUGUCUACGCUGUGACCGUGAAGUGUUUUGGCGAGCUUCUAACCGUCCAUUAGGACAACUUUUUAACAUCUGACCUCAAAUCAGGUAG
rnacentral:rRNA from 1 species